UUGGUUUCUCUCUGCCAUCUGUGGGAAGUUGAAAUUAAAGUGCAAAGUAAAAGUCGACAGCACUGCAGUGACCAAGGAAGCUGGCAGGGGACAGGACGGGGAGCUCCAUAGGAAGACUUACUGCAUGCUGAGAACAUCAAUUUGGCUUCUAAUAAAGACAGAUGUUCCAGAAUGUCAACUGAAGGAUCCUAAUGAUUCAACCUCCCCAUCAAAUGGAAUGUUGAUUCAGGGGUGUUAAGCACUUCAAAAACUGCACUGAAGCAGGUAUCAUCAGGACCAGAGGCCUUCUGAAGAUAACCACCCUGCCAGAAGCUGAGCUGAUACCUUUUCCUGCAUGGUUUUUACUCUAUGCGUUUUUAAUUUCCCGUAGGCUGUCAAGACAAUCUGAAAUGCUGCAGCAAAGAAAUCUUUCAUACAAGUCAUCCACAGUGAAAUCCUAUGCUGUGCACGUAACUUCCAAGAAGCCACAGUUUUCCCAUGAUUUCCCAUGAUGAGCAAACUUUUCCCAUGAUGAGCAAACUUUGACAGCAACAGACAUUUAUGAAGAUAUUGAAGAGUACUGGGCUGAAGACGGAACCUUGUGGUACCCCACUACUUACUUCUCGCCAUGUAGAUGUAGUAUCAUUAAGGACUAUUCGUUGAGUAUGAUUUGUCAGCCAUUUACAAAUCCAUCUAGUGAUGAUGCUGUCUAUCCCGCAUUUUUCUAGUUUACCAAGAAGAUCUCAUGAAAUCUGCAAAGAUUCUUCCUUCAGGGAAUUUCACUCAUCACUGGUCACCAUGGUACAUCAAACUGAAGCUUUCCUUCUGUGCUCUUUAAUUAAACCUAAUUUCACAAGUUAAGAAACAAAUGGUUCUCCCCCCCCAAUCAACCCUUUGAUUUCCUUUUUAACCCUUAUUAAACUCAAUGUCCUUCUACUGAAAGUAACCAGAGAUAGCACCGAAGUUUCUUUAAAAGGAUAGUGGAAAGCAAAACAUAUUACUCGCAAGCUGGAAGGAAAAUUCCAGGCCAGGCUUAAAAUGGCACAAGAUAGGGUCACAUCUCUUAACAGAGAGAUUAUCAUAAUGUUAAUUAUUAAUCUAUCUAUAUAAAAAUGGAGAUGUGCUUGUGUGCGUGCAUGUAUAUUCCAG